rnacentral:rRNA from 1 species
GAUGUUCUGGGCCGCACGCGCGUUACACUGACGGAGCCAGCGAGUUCUCCCUUGGCCGGAAGGCCCGGGUAAUCUUGUUAAACUCCGUCGUGCUGGGGAUAGAGCAUUGCAAUUAUUGCUCUUCAACGAGGAAUCCCUAGUAAGCGCAAGUCAUCAGCUUGCGUUGAUUACGUCCCUGCCCUUUGUACACACCGCCCGUCGCUACUACCGAUUGAAUGGCUCAGUGAGGCUUUCGGACUGGCCCAGAGAGGCGGGCAACCGCCACUCAGGGCCGGAAAGUUAUCCAAACUCGGUCAUUUAGAGGAAGUAAAAGUCGUAACAAGGUCUCCGUUGGUGAACCAGCGGAGGGAUCAUUACUGAGUUACCGCUCUAUAACCCUUUGUGAACAUACCUAACCGUUGCUUCGGCGGGCAGGGGAAGCCUCUCGCGGGCCUCCCCUCCCGGCGCCGGCCCCCACCACGGGGACGGGGCGCCCGCCGGAGGAAACCAAACUCUAUUUACACGACGUCUCUUCUGAGUGG